AUUUGUGUUACCUUCUAACAUAUUCAUAUUAUGUUAAAUGAACACAAAAAUUUAAGUAGACCAUUUGGGACAUGUGAAAUGU